GGAGGACGGAGAGAUACGAAGCCAAACCCGACGCUCGGUGCGCGCGAGAGAGAGAGCGAGACGCCCGGACGUGAAACGCGCCAAUCGGACAAGGACGGAAAUACGAAGAGUACAGGCUACUCUAAACGCAGAGUAGUGGGCGUAAGCGAAGAGACGCGGAAAAGAAAGGAAGACAAUGAGCGAAGAAAUCAACGGAUCGAUUUAUCGAUCAAUGGAUGCUCUUUGGACGAUUUGAGGCUGAAAAAUUAUGAAGAUGACAUCCCGGAGGGAUCCAGGGCGUUACCGACGUACCUCGUGGUGGAGCUUCCGGGAUAUUUUAACCUGAAGAGGGCUGGGACUGUCGUUAGGUCGUUAGAUCGUUAAAUUGUUAGAUCGCUUCACCGCUUCGCCGGGUCGAAAUCAAUGAAACUAAUCUCCAGAAGAACGGACUCGACUUGAAUGGCUUUUCGCAUCUUUCUUCUGAACGUUUUUAACAAAACAGUAUCGUCCAUACGCCAGGCGAUUGUCAAUUUUUGCGACAUCGCGCAUUUUCUGCGAUUUGUGCGAUUCUUCGAUUUUCCUCGAUUUUGUUUACUGCGUUCGCGUCUUUGCUCUGCGAUGAGAUAAAGCUAUUUGGAAUUUGUACUGUAUAAAGGCAUAGAAAGUGCAGAAGACUCGGGGAUAUCUUUAGAAAAAAAUGUAUUCGCUAAGAAUUCACAGCGAGCUGUAAAUUAGAUCGAAAUCUUCUAGACCUUUCGGAGAACAUGAAAAUGUUAACGAAUAAUUAUGUACGAAGUUAAAAUAUUUAUUCCAUCGGCUCUUCCGUUAGAAUUGGAUUAAAGGAAACGUUUAAGCUACUGAUAGCAGCUUAGCGUUCAUCCUGCUCCGUCCGUUACCAUUAUGGAGAUAUCCUUUAAAACACUGGCUAGGCUCAGUAGUUCUCAAUGAAGUAACUUAACGGUUCUUCCUCUGUUUGCAAUGCAUGUUCUUUAUUUCCUUCUCCUGUCGUACAGCUGAAUAUUUAUUCGGCAGACUCGCAUUGCAUUCGACCCUAUUCUGCGUAUUAGCAUCAUGGAGGUAUACUUAGAUACGCCCUGUGAUCUUGGUAAUGUUCAAUAAAUAACGUAACUAAUC